AUUGAACGCUGGCGGCAUGCUUUACACAUGCAAGUCGAACGGACGCGCGGGCUUCUUCCUGGCGGCGAGUUGCGAACGGGUGAGUAAUUCAUCCGAACGUGCCCUGUAGUGGGGAUAGCCCGGCGAAAGCCGGAUUAAUACCGCAUACGACCUGUGGGUGAAAGCGGGGGACCGAAAGGCCUCGCGCGGUUUUGGCGGCCGAUGUCGGAUUAGCUAGUUGGUGAGGUAAAGGCUUACCAAGGCGACGAUCCGUAGCUGGUCUGAGAGGACGACCAGCCACACUGGGACUGAGACACGGCCCAGACUCCUACGGGAGGCAGCAGUGGGGAAUUUUGGACAAUGGGCGCAAGCCUGACCCAGCCAUGCCGCGUGAGGGAAGAAGGCCUUCGGGUUGUAAACCGCUUUUGUUAGGGAAGAAAACCUCUGGGCUAAUACACCGGGGGGAUGACGGUACCGGAAGAAUAAGCACCGGCUAACUACGUG
rnacentral:rRNA from 1 species